UGUCGUGGCCUUCCCUUCCGAUGACGCGGGCUUCUCUUCCCGGCCGAUGCGGUCCUCAGGCUCCGAGGUUAUGGGGAGUGUCUUGGCGGUGGUCGCGCCUUCCCCGUCGUCCUGGCCGGCGUCUGUAUUGGUGGAGGCGCUUCCGUCGUCUCCCCUCCAUCGUGGCGUCCCAGCCCCAGCAACGGCAGCUUCCUUCGCGCGGGCCGCCGGGCUCUGGGCGCUUCUUCUCUAGCAGCCUUAUCCCGACGGCGGUGGUCAUGGCAUGCUCGCACUCCAGGGCACGCGUGCCGGUCUGGAUCUUCCUCCCCUGCUGCGGCGCCACGGGGAGACGAAGUCCUCCAUCGGCGUACAGGUUCUGUUUUUUCCCAAAUUGAUGUGCUGCUAGGUUAUUUAGCCUAUGAAAGGAAACAAAUUAGAUUUCAUUCUGCGUGAUUGCUGCAGAAGCCAUGUCAAUUUCCAUUCUAGCCAUCAUUUUCUGGGAUGGAUGCAGGUUAUCAACACCCCACCAUCUGUAGUUCGGAGAAAGCUGAAUUUAUUGAAAUUGAUCGGGAAUGGCCAUAUCAUUUACUUUGUUCUCCUUAUCAGUUAUCACAUAUUGAACAGAGUUGCAUGGAUAAGCAUGAGA